GAGCUUGUGGCUUAUCAUUGUAGCUUUUACGUCACACGACAAGCUUUCUGCAACUGUAUUUUUUCGUCUGCUCCUGAUUCACAACGGUUUGAAUAUAGCAAUAUUUAGAAAUGCAAUUUUAAGCUUAAAAUACCAGAAGAAUAUGUCUAAAACAUGAUUUCAUUGGCGUGGGUCUUUAAAAGCUGCAGGUAAAAGAUUAACUUGUUCACACCCUAACGACUAUAAAGAGGCAAAAGAGUUUUAUUCAACAGGGAAUUGGGAAAUAGAGACUUUUAUGGACCAUAUGUUAUUAUUUAUUGUCAAAAAAAACUCAACAGUACUCCAGCACUUCACGACUCUCUUCAGCCUUUAUCCUCUAAAAAUCUCACAACAGAGAAUGCAAUCAGCUGCCAACAACAAUCGUGCAUCUAUUCCACUUGUCGCUUAAUUUCUGACAGAUCUUAUCCAUGUUUUCUCAAAGGUGUUCCAUGAGGGAUACAACGGAAAAUGCUAUAUUUAACUGUUUGACAUCCGACACCGACAACUGCAAAGGGUGAGGUCCCUUGACCGCAUGGAAGGGAGGCGCCCUGGAGAAAGUCCAGCUGGUGGUCGACGGCCCAUCAGGAGCCCCACAUUGCUGCUGCUGCUGGUGCUCGCAGGAGUGGGAACACGUUGACCGCUGGACUCCCCAGAGUCCGCCAUCUUGAACUUGAACAAACUACAAACCUGGUGGCCGCUAACAACAAUAAUGACUUAAAUUACUUUGUUAUCUCUGUAAGAGAAAAGGAAAGGAAAACUGUACGCUCAAAAAUACAUCCUCAUCUCAUGUGUA